GUGGGGAAUUUUGCGCAAUGGGCGAAAGCCUGACGCAGCAACGCCGCGUGGAGGAUGAAGGUGCUCUGCAUCGUAAACUCCUGUCGCCCGGGACGAACCGGUGGGGGGUGAACAGCCCCCCGCCCUGACUGUACCGGGAGAGGAAGCCCCGGCUAACUCCGUGCCAGCAGCCGCGGUAAUACGGAGGGGGCUAGCGUUACUCGGAAUUAUUGGGCGUAAAGGGCGCGUAGGCGGUCCUGUGCGUCGGAGGUGAAAUCCCCGGGCUCAACCCGGGAGCUGCCUCCGAUACGGCGGGACUGGAGUCCGGGAGAGGGGAGUGGAAUUCCCAGUGUAGCGGUGAAAUGCGUAGAUAUUGGGAGGAACACCGGUGGCGAAGGCGGCUCCCUGGACCGGUACUGACGCUGAGGCGCGAAAGCAUGGGGAGCAAACAGGAUUAGAUACCCGAGUAGUCC
rnacentral:rRNA from 1 species